GGGGAGGGAUUAACAUAUUCACAGGUUGCAGGGACUUGAAUGUGGAUGUCUUUAGGGAACCCUGUUCUGUCUUCCGCAGGAUGGCUCUGUACAAAGGCAUCAGGUGAAGUAAAGCCCAGAAGGCAUAGAGAACAGUAAGUGUGAGUGAAGCCCCAAGCUUCUAAGGCUAAAACAAAAAGGAGUGAGGCAGGAGUGAUGAGAGAGAGUUCAAUGGGGUAGUCAGAGAGGAGGUCAGGAAGAGCUUCGUAUACCAUUCAGGGAACUAGAAUUUAUGAGAAGAGCAAUAAGUGGCCAUUUGUGCAUUUUAAACAUAACAUCAUCAGAUUUGCCUUCUAGAAAAAAAUCAUUCUGGCUAACGUACAGUGCAGUGUAUAAAAGUCCAAGGAUGCUGUGGGGUUGAAGGCAGUGAAACAAAGCAACCAUUUUUAUGAGCCAGGUGAAAGUAAUUUAAGAGGCUGAACUAAGGCUAUCUAUGUAGAGAGGAGUAGAUGAGUUCAAGAGAAACCAUGGAGUGCCUAUGCCCAGGAUGUGGUGAUUGAAUUUAAUGUGGAGGCAAGAAAAGAGUCAGAGAUAACAGCCAGGUUUUCAUCUCUUGUGACUGCAUAUACGGGGGUGUCUCUCAGUGCUUUUCGCCAAGUUCAGGAAUGAGGAGAGGAGGAUCAGGCUUCAGAUGGACACAAAUGUGACAUCUCACUUCGACCCCAAUAUUCUGCUCCUUCAUUCUUGCCUUUUAACAUAUACACCUGUCUGAUGCCCAAUUAUUGAGAUGCUGAUAGUCCCCCAAAUUCAAAGUGCUACUUAUGUAUUCUUUUGGCCUCAGCCAGUCCAGUAGUUUUUUUCUGUUUUUUUUUUUUUUUUUUUUUUUUUUUUUCUUGUUUCUUCAGAUGGUAUAAAUUAUUCUGGGAAAAUCUGCAUGGUUUUGUGUGGUUUAAUGGAUCUUUGGUGGGCCACCAAGAUCACCCACUUCAAGACUUAGGCACUUACUCCUCCAGCUACCCAAAUUGCUACCUGAAGAACUCACAACUUAGCUCCACACUAGGAACUGUCUAAACUAUGGGGACCUGCCUCACCCAAGGUUACGUUCUCUCCAAAGAGGUAGCCCACAUCCAAUGACUCAGUCAGGCAAGAGUACAAAGUUCCAGCCUCUGAUAUCAAUUUGAGAUUCAGUAUGGACCUAAAGAGCCAUAAUAGUUUUCCAGUUCCCUGUGAGGUCUGCUGAAGGCUCUCUUACAACUGAGUUGCAUUUUAACACCUCCCCCUGCAUAGCGCUGCUUUCCACACCUCUUUAGAGGUCCUUCACCACUAUUCCAGUGCCUCCUCCUCAUUUCACACCUCUGACUUUGUGAGAGUGGGUGUCCCUUUAUGAUCAGCUGCUGGAGAAGAAAGUCAUGAAUGGUUUAGCUUAGUAUACAGAUGCAAACCAAAAAGUGGUCUGCCAUUGCAGUUUCAGGGUGGACCUGAAAGAUGUCUUCCCAAUGGAGCUUCAGGUGGUGCCACUGGUUGUCCACUUUGUGCAGAAAAAGAAGUGGCCUGAGAUUGGCUCUGCUGAAAUCAUUUCCUUCUUCCUAAAAUGUCCUUUUAUUUUAAUAUCAUUAUCCCUGAGCCUGACUCCACAACUGGAUGGAUAAGAAUAUGAGAAGAUUACAGCACAGUGAAGAAGUCAAGAUAGAAGGUAUAUCUCAAUUCUAAUCAAUUCCUUAAUCUCAAUCUUUCCUUUCCAAAUCACAGGUAAUCAAGAAGUUAAUCCUAUGUUGGCUGUUUUUUAUCUAGGAAAACAAAGGUAUGGCUUUACAGAUUCUUAAUUCUUUAUAGAUUAUCAAAUUUGACACCCUCCACCCCCUACCCCCACCAAACAAACAAAAUAUUCCCUUGUUUGGGGUUGAAUUAUGUGCCCCCAAAAUAUGUGUGGAAAUCCUGACAGUGCCUCAGAAUGUGAAUUUAUCUGGAUGCAGAUGUAGUUAAUUAGGUUAAGAUGUAACCAUACUGGUGUAGGGUGGACCCUUAAUCUCAUAUAACUGGUGUCUUUAUAAGAAGAGGAGAGACGCAUAGAAGGAAGAUGACCAUGUGAAGACCAUAGCAGAGGCUGGAGUUACACUACCACAACCCAAGGAGCACCUGGGACUCCAAGUAACUAGAAUAGGCAGGGAAGGAUCUUCCAUUAUUGACUCUCUAGCAAAGAGGCCUUCCAACCCUGAUUUCAGACUGUAGCCUCCAGAAAGGUGAAAAGAAUAAGUUUCUCUUGUUUAAAGACAUCCACUUGUGGGACUUUGUUGUAGCAGCGCUAGGAAACUAACAUACUCCUCUUAAUUCCACAUUCAAAAAUUUAUCAGAAGAUAUAAAUAUAUAUAAUAAAUAUAUAAGAUAUUACACAUAUACUAAAAAUAUUUGACAUGUAAAAUAUAUAUAAGAUUUCAUGAGUUCCCAUCAUGGCUCAGUGGUUAAUGAAUCCAACUAGUAUCCAUGAGGAUGUGGGUUCAAUUCCUGUCCUGGCUCAGUGGGUUAAGAAUCCGGUGUUGCUGUAAACUGUGGUGUAGGUCACAGACAUGGCUCGGAUCCCACGUUGCUGUGGCUGUGGCUGUGGCCGGCUGCUGUGACUCUGAUUCAACCCCUAGUCUGGGAACCUC
rnacentral:lncRNA from 1 species